CAGCCCCGCCUCCCACAUAUCCUCGAACGUAAUCCCAAUUUUGGCAACCGUCCCUCUGGAGUCUGGAAUCUCGAUCCUUGUCGCAUCGCCGCGCGGCCUUUCAAUUCCUCCAAGUCCAAGCUGAUCGGUGCACCGCUAAAUAACCUAUCGAUUCCUCUGAUCGAUCGCAAAUCCUACUGAUUCCUACCGAUUCUUCCUCAGAUCGAUCGCAAACUCCGCCGCCGCUGUUCAAGCAUCAUGCGCCUCCGCCGCCGCGACUCAGCGACGCUCGCUAUCCAUGACUGGGACCCGCGAUGCUGGCAAAGUAAUCAAAUCUGACCAGGACAGCAAUACCCCUGCCGCCGCCAUUGCCCUCAUCGUCGAUCUCGCGUCCGACCCUGCAACAAGCGCCCCAGCCCCCAUCCGACCCCUAUUCCCCAACUCCAGCGCUCGACGUCCCGUGUCCGCACUUGAACCCCCUCCCCUCCCUCCCCCGCCUGCACUGGAUUUUGCGUGUUCCGUAUCCUAUCAGCUAAUUUCCAUCUUCUCAUCCCGAUCUCGCCUGGGUUUGGAGACAGAUUCGCAGCGUUGAAGAUCGGCGGCGCCAGGUUGUUCUUACGCGACUGCAGGUUCCCACCUUUUUCCUUCGCCAUGGAUUUGACUGGAUAAAUGAGACGUGAAGCCCUCCUGCAACAAUUUCUAACUGUGCUGGUCUCCUGAUCGUAUUAUAUUUGGACAACCUACAUCACACGCUCUCCCGGAUGAUUGGAUUUCCACACCCCGCGCGAAAUUCUAGCAGAAAUCCCUGGUUGAGUGGCUAACAAAUGCGGAUUGAAUUAGAUGGAGGGAUAGAACUGAUAAGUACAUCUUCCUACCAGUGUCUUUCUUCAAAUUUGUUUUUUUUCCUUUGUAUCUGAUGGACUCAUAUUGGAUUGUGAAUUGCAGUUUAAGCUGGGCAAGCACUUAUUACGCUGCAGCUGACAGUGCACCAGAUGAAUUUUGCACAUGGACAUGAAGUCCAUCAGAGAAGGUUGAAAUCACCAAUGGACGAAUUCCAAUAUUUUGGAUGCGCAAAACAAUGAUCAAGAAGCAGCAGAUUUCAAGAAUAUAUUUACAUUUCAUUUCCAGCAGGACAGAAUUGCACUCUUCGCUGCUAUACACUAAUACAUGUAGAUUUGCUACCUAGAAUCAUGUUGUUCUGUGUACAUACGAUGACAUAUAUAUUAUGAACAAGCAAUCCAAUUUUUACUUUCGGAGAUGAAUGUAUCUUCGUAUCCUUAUUGAAAUCUA